GAUGAACGCUGGCGGCGUGCCUAAUACAUGCAAGUCGAGCGAAGCGGCGGAUGGGUGAGUAACGCGUGGGUAACCUGCCCUUAAGGCUGGGAUACCAUUUGGAAACAGAUGCUAAUAUAGGAUACUAAAGUAUGGACAUGCGUUGAAUUAGCUAGUUGGUAAGGUAACGGCUUACCAAGGCGAUGAUGCAUAGCCGGGUUUAGAGACUGAUCGGCCACAUUGGGACUGAGACACGGCCCAAACUCCGACGGGAGGCAGCAGUAGGGAAUCUGCCACAAUGGACGAAAGUCUGAUGCAGCAACGCCGCGUGAGUGAAGAAGGUUUUCGGAUCGUAAAGCUCUGUUGUUGGUGAAGCGGUAAUCAACCAGAAAGUCACGGCUAACUACGUGCCAGCAGCCGCGGUAAUAC
rnacentral:rRNA from 1 species